GCAAGUGUCUACAUUUUUUGCGUAAAUUAUUUCACUUUAAACUAAAUAUGUAAAUUUUAUUGAAGUGAAAGAUUCAUUUAUAAAUUCGAUUUUGACAGAGCAUUCAGUAGCAAAGCUGGCUGCAAAAAACGAAGUUUCUCGGUACAAUAAAAUUUCACAUCAACAUUUUAAGAAUGAUAAAAGACAAGAUUACGACAUAGCGACGAAAUCAGGACCCUCGAAUGAGAAUAGGCAACAAAAGAAUUGUCAAAUGGAAAUGCUGGGUUGGAAAAGAGCAGAGGGCAGUUUCGGGUGUAGACCAGAUAAGGUGUUUGUGCCAUUGGAAAUGUUCUCACAACCCGAAUUUUCUAUCGUUGUCAUUAUGAAUUAUAAAAAGUAAACAAAACAAACAAAACCAAUAAUCGUUGACAAUCACUACGCAAUAAUAGCAUGACUGCCAAUUACAUACAUACAUAUUCUGAAAUUUUGUGCACACUCGUGUGUGACUCGAUCACAUUCAAUACGAUCGGGUUAGAGUGCCAGCUCGUUCACAAACGAGUGUCAACUCGGCACUCUGUUAAAACAAGCAUAUAUGCUUGUGUUUCGAGUGUCGCGAAAGGCUCGUUCGUUUUGAACAUGUCUCCAAACGAUCAAUACGUGUAUUCAUACCGAAAAGUUUGAUCAAACAAAAUCAGAGUGGACAUUCGAGUGUGCACGAAAAUGAUAUACCCGUUGCAGCUCUCUGGAAAAGAGAAAUAACUAUUUUUAUACCAUUUAUUCUUUUUAUUGUUAUUACAACCAGACCUACCUCAUAUUAAAAACUAAAUAUAUUUUUCAUUUAGAAUUUUAAGUAAUAAUUAAGCACUAUCCUUGGUUUUAUUGUUUUUUACUACCGUGCAAUUUGUCAGUUUUUCUUUCGUUUUUUGUUUUGCUUGCGGGUUUGGGGUUCUUUAUUGCGCCACGUAACAAGAAAUUAAAACCCAAAAAGCUAACUGUAAACGAAUGGCUUAAUCUUGUAUUCUAUCAUUCUUGACAGCAAUUCAGCUAAACAUAUUGAUAUUUGAUAAAAAGUGUCCGCUUUUAUUAAGAGAUGCCCUGCAAGACGAUGGAUAGAGGAUAAAGUCAUAUGAAGAAGUUCGCCUAAGUGAGGAAAGUUUCUGACUGCCAUUCACUAGGGAGUGACCAGGAACGAUUCUUUUGCAAGUGGUUCAAGCAGCUCACGACUUCCGAUCUUAGACCAAGUAACAGAGGGUAGCCAACAGCAAUCCGUUUGUUGCCGAGAUAAAGUGAGAAGGCGAAUCCUACUUAUGCGGUUGUGCGUAGAGUUUGGGACCCACCACGUAAAAACGAAUAACCAAUGAACAGGCAGCAACAGCUUCGGAUAAGGAGCAAUCCAAGAAAUGCGAAAGACGGGACAAGGACGGAAGAAGGAGGGUCCUUGUGACAUCUACUACAGCGGCCAGUGGUAUGAGAGAGACUCCGUCGUCGAGUUCUGGCAUUCACUCCAGUCGAUGAACGUCUAGCCACAAUCCGCAUCAAUGCGAGGUUCUUCAACAUAGCGCAUAUUUGCGCUCACGCCCUGACGGAAGAGAAGGACGAAGUGAUCAAAGAUACCUUCUAUGAGCGCCUAGAACGUACCUAUGAGCACUGCCCCUGCCACGAAGUCAAAAUCGUGCUUGGCGAUUUUAACGCUAGGGUGGAUAAAGAAAGUGCCUUUGGCCUUUGGCUCUCUGAGAGCACACAUCAGCAUCUCGGUAUAAGGGAACAGUGGGUCGGCAUAUCAAACUCCUUACGUACAGCUGCAAUCGAAACUAUUGGCUUUCGGAAAAGUAAAAAAAAAACAGCUGGUUUGAUGAGGAUUGUCGUCUCACAGUGAAGAGAAAACAGACAGGAAUGUUGCGAUUGACCGCAGCACGAGCGGUACAGGAAAGAUACCGAGAGCUGAAGAGGGAAGCGAGACGCAUUUGCAGACAAAAAAAGAAAGAGGCCGAAAUGCGUGAGUUUGAAGAGCUUGGCAAGCUGGGCGACAGGGGUAAUGCUCGAAAAAGAUCCGGUGACUAACAGAAGGUUUCAAGACCUGGGGACCCCCAGAGCUGAUCUAAUGGUUGAUGCCCAGAGCACACUGAGUUUGUCGAUGACGACGGAACAGAUGUUCCAUUACCCGACCAUGAAGAAAUUCAAGUAUCAAUUACCCGCUGGAAAAACAAUCAAGCGGCGGGGCCAAUGGAUUGCCGGACGAGCUAUCCCAAUGCGGCGGUGAAGAACUGAUAAGGUCCACAAAAACAGGAGACCCCACAAGAUACGCCAACUACCGUGGGAUAAG